rnacentral:rRNA from 1 species
UCGAACGAGAAGCCCGCAAGGGUGAGUAAAGUGGCGCACGGGUGAGUAACACGUGGGUAAUCUGCCUUCGGGUGGGGAAUAACUCUGGGAAACCGGAGCUAAUACCGCAUAAGCCUGAGAAGGGAAAGGUGAAAAUCGCCGGAAGAGGAGCCCGCGGCCGAUUAGCUGGUUGGUGAGGUAAAGGCUCACCAAGGCGAAGAUCGGUAGCCGGCCUGAGAGGGCACACGGCCACACUGGCACUGAAACACGGGCCAGACUCCUACGGGAGGCAGCAGUGGGGAAUCUUGCACAAUGGGGGAAACCCUGAUGCAGCGACGCCGCGUGAGCGAUGAAGCCCUUCGGGGUGUAAAGCUCUUUCGGCAGGAACGAUAAUGACGGUACCUGAAGAAGAAGCUGCGGCUAACUACGUGCCAGCAGCCGCGGUAAUACGUAGGCAGCGAGCGUUG